rnacentral:rRNA from 1 species
AAAGAGCAAUCUGAGUAGAGCGGCGCACGGGUGCGUAACACGUGGGUAAUCUGCCUCGAGGUCUGGGAUAACCUUCCGAAAGGUUGGCUAAUACCAGGUAAGCUCACGGUGACUUCGGUCGCUGAGAGAAAAGGGGCCCGAAAGGGUCUCGCCACGAGAGGAGCCCGCGGCCCAUCAGCUAGUUGGUGAGGUAACGGCCCACCAAGGGUACGACGGGUAGCUGGUGUGAGAGGACGAUCAGCCACACGGGAAGUGAGUCACGGUCCAGACUCCUACGGGAGGCAGCAGUGGGGAAUUUUGCACAAUGGGCGAAAGCUUGAUGCAGCAACGCCGCGUGUGUGAUGAAGGUCUUCGGA